GGCAGGAUGAAUGUUAUCCCUCGAUCCAACCCACUUUCAGCCUGGCCCAUUAGGGGGCGCUGGUAUAAAUAGCGGCCAUUUGAGUGUCUCUGCAUCGCUUGCCUGUGAUCUCCUUUUUGGUCACCUGACUUCCUCGGUGUGGUAGAGAUCGUUUGUGGGUUACGCCUCUAAAGUCUCCAUCGCGGCUGGUCGUAGCUAUAGAAGCCUCCUCUGAGCUAUUCGGCUUACAUUCUAUGACACGGCUUACUUGGAAGUGUGGGCCUUAGUUUUGCGCCAAGCUACGUGAACUGAAGUGCUGCUGUUUUGCCUUGCUGUGCUUUUAUCGUCGGUUCCCGUUGUGAGAUUUCUUUCCCUGCUGCUGUCAGCUUUUACAGAGGACGUCGGCGUGGACAACGGCCAUAUGCAUGCCGGUUAUCGGAGUCAGCUGGCGUGCAUAUUGAUUGACUGUCAACUUGUCGUUGUGUGACGGCAAGUUGGAGCAGUGCGGAGUGCCGACGUGGAGGAGACUAGGGUGCCUUGGUGGUGGGAUCCCUUGAGUGUACACACCUGCCUUGUUUAGUUUAUUA